AUCUCGCUCUCGAAUACGACCAACCACCGCUCCAAGAUUGGUUGUCAGUAACAAAGGAGCUUGAUUUUCUACAGCAUUUAUCUGUGUUUCAAGUUGGCAAGAAUUGAUAUCAUUGGCAGAUUUGAGAAGAAAGGGUUUCAUUUGAAAGGUAAUAUCUUUUUGCCCUUGAUUGGGUUCAACCCAUUC